GACGAACGCUGGCGGCGUGCUUAACACAUGCAAGUCGAACGGUAAGGCCCUUCGGGUACGACGAGUGGCGAACGGGUGAGUAACACGUGGGUGAUCUGCCCUGCACUUCGGGAUAAGCUUGGGAAACUGGGUCUAAUACCGGAUAGGACCACGGUCUGCAUGGAUUGUGGUGGAAAGCUUUUGCGGUGUGGGAUGGGCCCGCGGCCUAUCAGCUUGUUGGUGGGGUGAUGGCCUACCAAGGCGACGACGGGUAGCCGGCCUGAGAGGGUGUCCGGCCACACUGGGACUGAGAUACGGCCCAGACUCCUACGGGAGGCAGCAGUGGGGAAUAUUGCACAAUGGGCGCAAGCCUGAUGCAGCGACGCCGC
rnacentral:rRNA from 1 species